rnacentral:rRNA from 1 species
UACGUAGGCAGCAAGCGUUGUUCGGAAUUAUUGGGCGUAAAGGGCGCGUAGGCGGUGUCGCAAGUCCGUGGUGAAAUCUCUAGGCUCAACUUAGAGACUGCCGCGGAAACUGCGGUGCUUGAGUGUGGGAGAGGUGCGUGGAAUUCCCGGUGUAGCGGUGAAAUGCGUAGAUAUCGGGAGGUACACCUGUGGCGAAAGCGGCGCACUGGACCACAACUGACGCUGAGGCGCGAAAGCUAGGGGAGCAAACAGG